UCAUGAUAAUUUAUCGAACGUUAAAGUAAUAAAAGUUUCAAAAGCUUUAUUUUUUCAUUCAUCCUUUUUUACAAUACAACUUUAAAUUUCAUUCGCUUCCCGCGAUAAUAAGACGCGCGUAUCUCAGUACGCAUGCGAACUAAAACAUAAACACAUUCAAAAAACUUGUCGUGUCUUUAAAAAAAAACAGUCGACGUAAAUAAUAUAAUUAAUUAUUAUUCUUACAUUAUUAAUCUAUUAUAUUCAAAUUAAUAAACUGAUUUGAGUGCUAAUUAAAUCGCUCGUAGCAAGGAUAUUAAGAUGAGAACCUAAAUAGCUACAUUAGUCGCUGUUCUGUUGACAUUCUAACCUAAUUUCAUUUGUCAAAAUAUAUAAAUUGAAUGUAUUCACAAUAAGACCGCAAUGUACACAAAAAAAGUCAGAUGGUGAUCAAUAGAUGUUUUUUCUAAAUGUACGUUAAUUUUUACAUUGAUCAUUAUUAAUUCUAAAUCAUGAAUUUAAUAUGAUUUACUUAAUGAACAAGUUUGAAUCCUAAUUAAAUUGCUAGUAACAAUAUUAUAAUUAAGAUGAGAACCGGAAAAGCAACAGAAGCCACAGUUCUGUCAACGAUCUAACCAAAUUUUAUUCGUGCACUAAAAUAAACUGAACUUAUUCAAAAAAUGACAGGAGUAAGAAUGUGAAAAAAUGUAUCCUUAAUCAAUGGAUAUUUGUUUCAAAUGUACAUCAAUUCGUACGUUGCCCACCAAAUUGACGGAAUUUCUACCUAUGGCACAAGAAAGAGGGUCUUUAAAAAAAACAGUUAAUGUAAAUAAUAAAUGAUUGAUAUCUAUAUUUAUUAAAAAAAUGUAACAACAAUUGACAAAUAAAUGGAUUUUUAAUU